CAACUCAAGGGACACCUAGGGAAGACCAAGAAUCAUUGAGAAGACUUAGGGUUUUCGGCAAGCACAAGGCACCAAAACACACACUCUACUUGCUGCAUGGUAACCAUGCACACAUGUUGGGAUUUAAGGAAGAUUUAGGGUUUUUGGAUUUUACCUUUUUGCCACCAAGUGCAUUGAACCUAGACACAUGAAGAAGGGGAAAGAUGGAAAGAGGGUUUCGGUUGGGGAGGCUACACACCACUUGCAAAAAUAGACCUUUGGCUUUCCAAGGCCAUCCCAUCUUAGGGAAAAGAAAGGGAUUCUUCUGCUUAGGAGCCAAGUGGCAUCCAUGCACAUGGCCUCUAGUAUUUCAAGAAGGGAGGGAGGCUUCUAUAUAAAGGGAUAGCCGAAAUGUGAGGAGCCCUUUUUGGACAAAUUUCCAUAUUUUCUUUUUACACCCAUUCGGCAACACCAUAGCUCUCUCUCUAGUUUUCAUGUUCUCAAGUUUUCUCACCAACCAAACACCACCCUCACUCUUCAAGCACUAUUUUGAAAUCACCAAAGAUUUCUCCUACACCAUUCAAGAAGAGAGAAAGCACACAAAGAUUUCUUGCUGAUAUUAUCAUGGAUUUUUAAUGGUAAAAGUUGUAACAGGUAUAGGAAACCUGAUGAUGAAGUAGAAGAGGACAGUACUCCCUUUGGAUAGGAUAGUGCCCAAGAUGGAAGUGAGCUCUCCUAAGCUCUACAUCCAGGAACAGUUAGAGACCAUCGAUUAGACUUUUACCGAAGUACUUAAACUCAUGGAUGAGUUAAAACGACUCAGGAACUAUGGCAAAGAUCAGUCCUUAGAAAAGAGGGUGAAGCCUUAAAGGCCAUGAUGACUUAAAUCUUUUGUGGAAUAGACAAUCUUUUGGAAUGGUCUUGUUAUUUGAGAGACUUUAUA